AAUGCUGUUAACCCGUUGAUCGGUCUACACCGACCCAAAUCCAUAUUUAAAGAGGAGAGUUUUAACUCGAAAAGCCCACAAUCAAUACCUUUGUUCGCUAUGUAUUUUUCAUACUGACAGACAUUAUGUAGUAUAACAUUAUUUUCUUGAUCGAGUAAUGUAACCCAAUACUUGAUAAUCUUGAAAUAGUGAUUGACAAAUAAUAUCCUAUUUUAUGUCAAGGGUACCUCUAGACAAGAGACGAUUUCGAAUAACGCAUGCGUCGCUUACGACAGCUGGUCAAAGGGAGGCAACUCUGUUGUCAGAUACUUAUUUCAGCCAACCAAAGGUUUACAAGUAAUCAUCACUUUGGUUAAAACUUGCAGCAUAGAUGCAUAACCUGUACCCUUGCGAACGUGUGUGUAUAAUGUUGGCAAACCUUAGACUGGCCACUCAAACAAAAAUAAUAGACAGUAGUACC